rnacentral:lncRNA from 1 species
CUCUGCCAGGCAAUAUACAGUGGUACGGUUUCAUUUUCACUUCCACUUUAAACCUUCGGUCAGCUCAGGAGAGGCGUCAGUUGGAUCUCCGACACUAACAGAACCACAGUCAUUAUGAUCUGAUAUCAGAUCGCAGCAACUUACAUCUGCAAAGCUCUGUCAUAUGAAGUCUGAUAUGUCAUGUAAAGGUUUGGAGUAAUUGUUUUAUUUUGAGGAAGAUAAAAUGAUUUGCUUUCUUCUCUUCUGUUGUCUGGCAGGUGGUUGUCUGGGUCUUGAAGUCCGUCAGUCUACCUCUGAUCUCAUCAAGCAACCUGGUGACAAAGUGCAGAUUUUCUGCAGCCAUGAUAAAACUGACUACAGGAUGAUGCUCUGGUACCAGCGGUCACCUGGAGACACAGCUAUGAAACUCAUCGGAUAUUUGAACUUUAAAGAUGUCAAAAUGGAAGAGAAAUAUGAAGUCGAUUUUAAUAUCACUGGAGAUUUAGGGGGGAAUACAGCCAAGAAUGGCUCUCUUAUAGUCAAACGUGUAGGACCAAAUCACAGUGCAGUGUACUACUGUGCAGCUAGCAAAGCACACUGACAGAAAUCCCCUCUGAGCUUUACAAAAACUCUUCACCAUCUUUUAUCAUGGUUUCAAAUAAUACGUGGAAUAUACUCCUCACAGACACUUGCUUUUGUGGUUGCAUUUUGGUUUUAUUCAGUUGUGUCAUCAUUAGCUAAUACAAGCUGGUUUCUAUUCUAUUGGUUUACUCUUAUUUAAACUAGACAAGACUAAAACAUAAUGAAAAAGCAAAAAGGAAGAGCCUCGAUAAUUAUCAGUUUUAUAUGCAACUACAUGAAGCCACUCCUCCUUUCUACAUCAUGAUGGCUUCCUACUUAAAUGUGACUGAGUUUAGGGAGAAAGCACAAACAACAGAGACCCUGUCGUCACUUAACCAAUACUACAUUUCAUCCAUGAUUUAACUCAGUGCUCCAUGUCAGAUCUUCAAAUGAUGAUUCGAUUUCUGUUCUGCUAUUUCCUCACAGCAGGUAUUUCACUGGGGGUUCAGAUCCAUCAGUCUCCCUCUGCUGUCAUCGGAAAGGCCGGUGGUAAUGUUCAACUUUCCUGCACACAUGGACAAAGUAACUACAGAGUGAUGCUGUGGUACCAACACACACCUGGAGACAGAGCACUGAAACUUAUUGGAUAUGGAUAUGCACAGUUCAGUAAUAACAGCGUGGAAGAGCCGUUUAGAAAACACUUCAAAUUAGCUGGAGAUCUGAGUGGAGACAACAAAAAUGGUUCACUUUCCAUAAUCAAUCUGAAAGCACUUGAACACAGCGCAGUGUACUUCUGUGCUGCAAGAGAGGCACAGUAUGUCAAACCUUUAUCUGCCCUUAACAAAAACCUCUUUACCCCUCCACUCUGAAUGUAGGUCAAAUAGGAUGGUCUACCUAUAUUUUUACAAUAAGGCAUAAACUAAAUAAGUUUUAAUAGUAAAAUGUUGUAACAGCCUGAUGCAACUAUGCUCAGUAAAUGACCCUUGAUUG